rnacentral:lncRNA from 1 species
CAGCACGUGGGGUCACCAGGCAGCCCCGGGGCCCCGGCAGGACUCACCCAGACCUCGGCAUCCCACGCGGGUCUAGGUGCCCAACCUUCCUGGGCCUGGACAGACGAGGUAGGAAGCCAGCCCUCUGCCUGGGGGGCUGGGGUAGAGCAGGAGACCCCUCCCCGGCUCUCAGGGGCUGGGCCCACUCACCCCCUCUCAGAUCCCCAUCUGCCAACCGACUCUGGAGCUGGGGCAUCCGGCUGGUGCCCGUCAGGCAUGUUCCCUCCACCGGCUACAGAGAAGCGCUUUGCAGUCCACAGUUACCUUAAAUACGUGUACAUUAAGUCUCCACUCGAUUUCUAGAAAUCCACACACGCUUUAAAGGGUUGGAAACACUCUGGGAAGUCUCCAAAGACAGCUUCGGGAUCACCAACCCAGAAUAAGAAACAGCCAAAGUCACUUGGGGGUGCUUCCACGCCUCCCCCCACCCCCAGGAUUCCUGUGGCUGGAGCCAGGCUUCCCAUCGGAAGGGAGUUGUUGCUGUUGUCCAGUCGCUCAGUCGUGUACGACUCUUUGCGACCCCAUGGACUGCAGCAUGCUGGGCCUCCGUGUCCAUCACCAUCUCCUGGAGUUCGCCCAAGUUCAUGUCCAUUGAGUCGGUGAUGCCAUCCAAGCAUCUCAUCCUCUGCCGCCCUCUUGUCCUUCUGCCCUGGAUCUUCCCUGGCAGGAAGGGCGGACCCUCUGCUGAUCUGUGGGACCGGGACUGCGAUCCCUGCAGGCGAUUCUCCAAUCCUGAGCCUUGCAGUUCCGCAAACAUCUCUUCCACGUGAAGCAGUCAGCAUCAGCGCUCCUCCUCAGUCACUAUUUCCUUGCCUUGGCGAUCGGGGAGUUAUGUGCGAAGAAAGCAGAAGUAUUCGACUGAAGCUCCA